UUAAUAUUCAAGAAAUAUUAAAUUUGGCAAUAGGCAGAAAGGUUUCAAUGAGCAGCAUAGUUGCAAUGCCUACUCUGGCCACAAUCUUACACAGUGCACCUUUAAGUGUUCUGGUGUUUAAGUUAUCAGAUCAUAGCUUACUGCUUAAAGCCAUGUGUCCUGAUUUUAUCUUAACCCAAAACGUCACAUAAUUGAGCAUCCAUACCUCGUACGCUGUUAUGGUCCUUUAGUGGAACUAUAUGUACAUAAUAUUCUCAAGGCAUGAUUGUCACAGUUGGGCAUUGCUUGGCUAAGUAUUAUUCUUGUUGCUUGCCAUUAUAGGUUCUUGAAAGUAGAGAGCAGUGUCUAUGUUAAAAUCAUGGUUGCUGGCAUCAAUUAAUUGAAUCAUUACUGUCCUUUGACAGCUGACCUUGUUGGGGGAAGGCUCUGGGUGACGCUGAGGACACAUUGUUGACGGAUCAUGACCUCUGACAUCCUCAGGCACCGCAAAGAUGCUGCUCUUCGAGGACUUCCAGUAUUUCUCUGUGAGGACCCCAAGGAACUUUUCAAAGAGUGCCUUGAGGCCGAUGCAGAUGGUGUGGCUGUGGGCAUUCUAUAUGUUCGUGAAGACUGUGGUCCAGGUACAUCUACGCGAGUGCAAAACAUUGCCGUCAUCCUCGAGGAGAGUUGUUUUGCAAGAUAUCCCAGAUACCCCAACUGCUCUGGCAUACCUUUUUGGCAUACCUUACCUUUUUUUCCUUUAUGCCCUGAAUAUCUCCUACCCAAAGGCUCUGAAGUAUACCUUCGAUACUUUGCAAAAUGUCUUCAUGGAGAUUUGUCUCAAAUGUACACGGCGUGUACAAUCUCUGAAAAACAAACUGGCACUGUAAGACUGACGGCGAGGCUGCAAUGUCAAGUUCCCAUGACUGCCUAUGUUCUCACAAUGUUGGAGUAUGGCUAUAUUUCUGAGGGAAAAAAUGUGGAUGACAUUUGAACUUAGCUUAUACUGUAAGACUGAAGACGAGGCUGUAUUUUGAAAUGUGUGGCGGUUACAUCAAGUUCCUUUGAUGGCCUAUGCUCCCACGGUGUUGGAGUAUGACUACCUUGUAUUUCUGAGGGGAAAAUGGGGAAGACAUUUUAACAAACUUGCACUUGAAGAGUGAAUACAAGGUUGUAUUUUGAGAUGCAUACUGGUUACGUCAAGUUCCCCUUGAUGACCCAUCUUCUCACAGUGUGGAGUAUCGCUGAGUUUUACCUCCUUACUUGGGCUAUACUAGCCUGGUUCUCACCGAUGGUGCGGGUGUGUACACAAACCAGCAUCUGGUAGCGUUGCCAUUAACAUGCUCUUCUGGAGUCGAAAAUAAAUGGUGCAUUUAUUGCAA